CGGCGCGCCGCUGAGGCGGUGGGAAAUAUGGCGGCGCGCAGUAGGGGCCGUGCGGAAGGAGGAGGAGUGAGGAAAAAAAACGGCGGAGGCCCCUCAGUACCGGGCCUCGGGAAAAACUGGCAGCUGGUGAGUUGGUGUGGCCCUGCAGAGGGGGACGUGGCAAAGUUGAGAGUUCAAAACAUCCCUGAGUGAUUCCCGAGACCUCAGAGGGGUAAGAAGGGCUCCCCAUGGGCUCUGUGUGAGGGAUUUAUGGGGAAAAAAAGGGGAAAAAAGGAAAAAAGCAGCAAAAUAGAAAAGAGAGGGGGCACCUGGAGUUGAACCAGGGACCUCUUGAUCUGCAGUCAAAUGCUCUGCCACUGAGCUAUACCCCCUGGGACACUGCUGGGAAAAACAGCAAUAAAAUCCAUGGAAAAAUAGAAAAAAUUAUAUUAAAAAGAGCAGUAAAAUCCCUGAAAAAAAAUAAGUUAAAUAAAAAUAAAAAUGAGAAAAAAAAUCCCUGAAAAAAAUUUUUAAAAUUUUAUAAAAAAGAGCAAUAAAAUCCCUGAAAAAUGUAAAAAAAAUUGUAAAAAAGAGAAAUAAAAUCCCUGAAAAAAAUUUUUAAAAACUUUUAAAAAGAGCAGUAAAAUCCCUGAAAAAUUUGUAAAAAAAGUAUUAAAAAGAGCAAUAAAAUCUCUGAAAGAAAAAAUUUUUUAAAAAUUAUUAAAAGGAGCAAUAAAAUCCCUGAAAGAAAAAAUUUUUAAAAAUAUAUAAAAUAGAGCAAUAAAAUUCCUGAAAAAAAUUUAAAAAAAAAUAUAAAAAAGAGCAAUAAAAUAAUUUCUGCACAGGACAAGGAAAAAUGUCUGCAGGCACAGACACCGUGGGUAUAAAAAGGGGAAAUCUCAUUUUUUAAUGGAAAAAAAGGAGAAAAGAGAGGGGGCACCUGGAGUUGAACCAGGGACCUCUUGAUCUGCAGUCAAAUGCUCUCCCACUGAGCUAUACCCCCUGGGACAGUGCUGGGAAAAACAGCAAUAAAAUCCAUGGAAAAAUAGAAAAUAUUAUAUUAAAAAGAGGAAUAAAAUCCCUGAAAAAAAAUAAAUUAAAAAAAAAUAAAAAUGAGAAAUAAAAUCCCUGAAAAAAAUCUAAAAAGGUAUUAAAAACAGCAAUAAAAUCCCUGAAAAAAUGUAAAAAUAAUUGUAAAAAAGAGCAAUAAAAUCCCUGAAAAAAUGUAAGAAAAAAAAACUGUAAAAAACAGCAAUAAAAUCCCUGAAAAAAAAAAUUAAAAAAUAUAUAAAAAAGAGUAAUAAAAUCCUUGAAAAAAAAUUUAAAACAUUAUAAAAAAGAGCAAUAAAAUCCCUGAAAGAAAAAUUUUUAAAAGUAUAUAAAAUAGAGCAAUAAAAUCCCUGAAAAAAAAUUAUAACAAAGAGCAAUAAAAUCCCUGAAAAAAAAUUUAAAAAUUAUAAGAAACAGCAGUAAAAUCCCUGAAAAAAUUUUUUAAAAAUUAUAAAAUAGAGUAAUAAAAUUCCCGAAUCCCAGCUCGGGUUUUAUUCCCAUUACAGGUAAAUGUCCCAGGCACAUCUGCACAGAAACAAAUUCUGUGUCUGGGCUUUGUCACUGCCCCAGAGGUUGGGUUCCUGCAGGAUUUGUGUCCUUCAGGGCUCAGAUUUUAAUCCUGCAGUUUUUAAUUCUGCAGGCACAGAAACCGUGGGUAUAAAAAAGGGGAAAUCUCAUUUUUUAAUGGAAAAAAAGGAGAAAAGAGAGAGGGGGCACCUGGAGUUGAACCAGGGACCUCUUGAUCUGCAGUCAAAUGCUCUCCCACUGAGCUAUACCCCCUGGGACAGUGCUGGGAAAAACAGAAAUAAAAUCCAUGGAAAAAUAGAAAAAAUUAUAUAAAAAAGAGCAGUAAAAUCCCUGAAAAAAUGUAAAAAAAAUUGUAAAAAAGAGAAAUAAAAUCCCUGAAA